ensembl:lncRNA
CCUGGACACGCCUUGCUGGUGGUGGAAGGGCGGAAGGAGGGGAGCUGGCUCUGCCCAGACCUCCUCCGUGGCCUGGCUGGCUCGUGGUGACGCAGGGCCCUUGGGGGAGCCUGCAGGGUGGGCACGAGUCCCUGUCGGAGCCCGCCUCACUGGCCUGAGCUCUGUCACUCUCUUCCUGCUGCUGCUCGGCCAGGGACUCGGUUUAAGCGAGGGCCGGGCACUGUCUGGCACUGCUCACCAGGGAAGCCCAAGGGCUGUGCUGGAAGUUUCUCUGGAGACCACAGGGGUCCCGACCGCAAGAAGCCUGGUAGGCGAACGACCAGACACACGCCCGUGUUUGUCCAGGAAGGAGACCUCUGGGGUGUGUCUGAGCCUCCCCUCACCCCCUGGCACUGCCCCUUUGACCUGCUGCCACAGCAUCCGGCGAGACGGGGGAGACGGCAGCUGGGACCCGCUGUGUCCUUGGAACGAGACGGACCGCAGGUUCCACGCCUGGCUGGAGAACUAAGAUCCUGGAACUGAGAUCCGCAGCAUGGCCAGUUUUUUUUUUUUUUUUAAUUAAAAAAAUAUGAAAACAUUGUUCUACAAUUUUAUGCCCCAAAAUAUUGGCCACUCUAAAUAGUUUAUAUUUUUAAAUGAAUAACUUAAUGACAUCGUUCAUGCAUUUAGAACACUUCAGAAAGCUUUUUGUUUUGGAAAGUUCCACAUACUUAUUGUAAAAGGUAAAGAAAAUAGGAUAAUGAACUCCCACAUACGCAAGAUUCCACUCUAGCCGCUCCCAACCGAUGGCCAAUGUUAUUCUGUCCUUAUUCCUUCCCAUUUCUCUGCCACCUACCUACAUUUUUUAAAAGACAAACCACAGACAGCAUAUAAUUUUAUCUAUAUUUCACUGUUAUUCUAAAGACAAGAAUUCAUUAAAAAAAUAACCAAAUUCCAUUAUCAUACCUACAAAAUUAAUAGUAAUUUUAACAUUAAAUACUCAGUACUCAAAUUUUCAAUUAUCUUAAAAUGUAAGAUUACUUUAAAGUCAUUUUUACUGAGCUACAUUUUUCGUAUAAUAAAAUGUACCUAUAUUAAGGGUGCAGGUAAACUGACAAAUUUAUACACUCCUCUGCUGCUGCUGCUGAGUUGCUUCAGUCGUGUCUGACUCUGUGCGACCCCAUAGACGGCAGCCCACCAGGCUCCCCCGUCCCUGGGAUUCUCCAGGCAAGAACACUGGAGUGGGUUGCCAUCUCCUUCUCCAAUGCAUGAAAGUGAAAAGUGAAAGUGAAGUUGCUCAGUCGUGUCUGACUCCUUGCGACCCCGGGGACUACAGCCCACCAGGCUCCUCCAUCCAUGGGAUUUUCCAGGCAAGAGUACUGGUGUGGGGUGCCAUUGCCUUCUCCGAUACACUCCUCUAACCACCGUCAUAUCAAGAUAUAGAAUAUUUUUGCCACCACGGGAAGCUGCUUCCUACGCUUACUGUCAACUUCACCUCCUUUUCCAUCCUCAGCCCCAGGCUACCUUGCUUUUCUUUUUUUUUACAUUUAUGAACAGCAAGGACAUCCAACCAGUCCAUCCUAAAGAAAAUCAACCCUGAAUAUUUACUGGAAGGACUGAUGCUGAAGCUGAAGCUCCAACACUUAAGCCACCUGAUGCAAAGAGCCGACUCACUAGAAAAGACCCUGAUUCUGGGAAAGAUUGAAGUCAGGAGGAGAAGGGGAUGAGGAUGGUUGGAUGGCAUCACUGGCUCAAUGGACCAGAGUUUGAGCAAACUCUGGGAGUUGGUGAUGGACAGGGAGGCCUGGCAUGCUGCAGUUCACGGGGUUGCAGAGAGAUGGAUUGACUUAGUGACUGAGCAACAACAACAAAACAUUUAUGUGAAUUUAGGAAUUAUAGGAUGUAUGUAUAUAUAUAUCUGUUUUUUCUUUUUCUGGCCACUUGAAACAUUUACUGCCAACAGCUGGUUCUCAGCAAUCUGACUGACGCUCCUCCUGUGGCUGGUCUCUGCCACCUGCUCUGUGUCUUCUUCCUGGACUCUAAUUACACACGUUUGACUACUUGACAAUUAACCUACAGGUUGCUGAGCUUGUGUGUUUGUAUUUUGUCUUUUUCCUCUCUGUCUGAACAUUUUCCAUUGCAGUGUCUGCAUAUUCACUGAUCUUUCUUUUGGAAUAUCUAAUCCAAUGUUACAAUUGUCCAGUUAAAUUUUCCCAACAGAUACUAUACUUUUCUCCUCUAGAAGUCCCAUUUGAUUCUUUUUUAAAAAAUAUUUUCCAUCUGUCUCUUCAUCCUGCUCAUGUUUUCCUUUUAGAUUUUAAAUAUGCGUGUAAUGUAUUUUUAGGUGUCCUUGUCCGCUGUUUCCGGCCUCUCAUUUGUAGAUUUGUUUCUUUUGACUGAUUUUCCUUCUUGUUAUGGGUCAAAAUUUGCUGAUUUUUUUUUUUGCAUGUCUAGUAAUUUUUAAUUGGAUGCAGGACAUGAACUUUAGGUCACUGAGUGUUUGGAUUUUGUUUCUUUUUUAAAAGGGUUUUUGAAUUUGUUUUGCUCAAAAAUUAAGUUAUGUGUUUCUGAUUAACCCUUACCAAGUUUAUUUACUUAUUUAAAUUGGAGCCUGUUGCUUCACAACGUCGUGGUCGUUUCUUCUGUACAACAGCGUGAAUCAGACAUGUAUACACAUAUAUCCGCUCCCUCUCGAGCCUCCUGCUCUACCACCCCCACCCCACCCCCCGCCCCGGGUCAUCACGGAGCACCGAGCUGAGCUACCCCAGCUCCCGCAGCUGUCUGUCUGCGUGUGGCAGUGUAUGAACGUCAGUGCCCACUCUCGAUCUGUCCCCGCCCUGCCUCCCACCCCCAUGUCUGUAAGUCCGCACCGGGUUUGUUCUUAAGCCCUCUUUUAGGGCAGCUCUAGACUAGACUGCGGAGAAGGCGAUGGCACCCCACUCCAGUACUCUUGCCUGGAAAAUCCCAUGGAUGGAGGAGCCUGACAGGCUGCAGUCCAUGGGGUCACUAAGAGUCGGACACGACUGAGCGACUUCACUUUCACUUUUCACUUUCAUGUAUUGGAGAAGGAAAUGGCAACCCACUCCGGUGUUCUUGCCUGGAGAAUCCCAGGGACGGGGGAGCCUGGUGGGCUGCUGUCUAUGGGGUCGCACAGAGUCGGACACGACCGAAGCGACUUAGCAGCAGCAGCAGCAGACUAGUCUGCAGUCAGUCCCGUUACUAAGACGCGCCACUUCUGGCAUCUCCGCCUACGGCCCUGGGUGUUAGAGCAGACGUGUCCACUGCGGCUGGUUGGAAGCCGUAGUUCUCCAGCCCCGUGAAGUCUGGGAACCGUCGUAAUUGCAGCUCUUCUUCGGUUCUGGGUCCAGCCUUGCAUGGGCCGCCCCGCCCCGUGCAUGGUCUGGAUUCGCCCAGGCUCGAGGGCCCCUGCAGACUUCCGGACCCUCCGGUGCACAGUCCCCUCACGCCCAGCAGGCCCCGCUUCCCGAGCUCAGCCCCGCGCGCCUCGGCUCAGACGUGGACCUCUUCUCCGCUGCUCCUGUCCUUUGGCUGUUGCUCUAAAUUUACUUUCAGGCAAAAAUCAAGGAUGGAGUCAUCUCUGGGAUCAGCAUCAUAUUGUUUUAUAUCUUAUGUCUAAAAACAUUUUUAUUUGUAUUUUGCCCAAUUUUCUGUUUGUUCAGUGGAGAAAAAUAUUCUGAUUUCUUCUUCAUAGUCGGGAAUAUAAGCCAUGACUUUAAGACACAGUUUAUGUACUUGAAUUGGGAUUCAAAUAAAGCUCACACAGUUUGAUUGGCU